rnacentral:rRNA from 1 species
UACGUAGGGUGCAAGCGUUACUCGGAAUUACUGGGCGUAAAGCGUGCGCAGGCGGUUAUGCAAGGCAGAUGUGAAAUCCCCGGGCUCAACCUGGGAACUGCAUUUGUGACUGCAUGGCUGGAGUGCGGCAGAGGGGGAUGGAAUUCCGCGUGUAGCAGUGAAAUGCGUAGAUAUGCGGAGGAACACCGAUGGCGAAGGCAAUCCCCUGGGCCUGCACUGACGCUCAUGCACGAAAGCGUGGGGAGCAAACAGG